rnacentral:tRNA from 1 species
UCCCUCUAGCCGGAUUUGAACCAGCGACCUAAAAAUCACCGCCUAAUUACAUCUACAGUCCUCCGCUCUGCCAACUGAGCUAUCAAGGG